rnacentral:rRNA from 1 species
UUAGAGUUUGAUCAUGGCUCAGGACGAACGCUGGCGGCGUGCUUAACACAUGCAAGUGGAGCGACGAACCAGGGCUUGCCCUGGGGCAGAGCCGCGAACGGGUGAGUAACACGUGGGUAACCUACCCCGAUGACCGGGACAACCCGAGGAAACUCGGGCUAAUACCGGAUGUUCUCGUUUCUCAUAAGGGAAUCGAGCAAAGAUAGCUUCGGCCUUCGCAUCGGGACGGGCCCGCGGCCCAUUAGUUUGUUGGUGGGGUAACGGCCUACCAAGGCUUCGAUGGGUAGCUGGUCUGAGAGGACGAUCAGCCACACUGGGACUGAGACACGGCCCAGACUCCUACGGGAGGCAGCAGUGGGGAAUCUUGCGCAAUGCGCGAAAGCGUGACGCAGCAACGCCGCGUGGGGGAAGAAGGUCUUCGGAUUGUAAACCCCUUUCAGUUGGGACGAAGCUUCGAGGGUUAAUAGCCCUCUGGAGUGACGGUACCUUCAGAAGAAGCCCCGGCUAACUUCGUGCCAGCAGCCGCGGUA